rnacentral:rRNA from 1 species
GACGAACGCUGGCGGCGUGCUUAACACAUGCAAGUCGAACGGAAAGGCCCUGCUUUUGUGGGGUGCUCGAGUGGCGAACGGGUGAGUAACACGUGAGUAACCUGCCCUUGACGUUGGGAUAACUUCAGGAAACUGGGGCUAAUACCGGAUAGGAGCUCCUGCUGCAUGGUGGGGGUUGGAAAGUUUCGGCGGUUGGGGAUGGACUCGCGGCUUAUCAGCUUGUUGGUGGGGUAGUGGCUUACCAAGGCUUUGACGGGUAGCCGGCCUGGGAGGGUGACCGGCCACAUUGGGACUGAGAUACGGCCCAGACUCCUACGGGAGGCAGCAGUGGGGAAUAUUGCACAAUGGGCGGAAGCCUGAUGCAGCAACGCCGCGUGCGGGAUGACGGCCUUCGGGUUGUAAACCGCUUUCGCCUGUGACGAAGCGUGAGUGACGGUAAUGGGUAAAGAAGCACCGGCUAACUACGUG